AAUAGAUACCCGGGUAGUCCACGCCGUAAACGAUGAGUGCUAAGUGUUAGGGGGUUUCCGCCCCUUAGUGCUGCAGCUAACGCAUUAAGCACUCCGCCUGGGGAGUACGGUCGCAAGACUGAAACUCAAAGGAAUUGACGGGGGCCCGCACAAGCGGUGGAGCAUGUGGUUUAAUUCGAAGCAACGCGAAGAACCUUACCAGGUCUUGACAUCCCAUUGACCACUAUGGAGACAUAGUUUUCCCUUCGGGGACAACGGUGACAGGUGGUGCAUGGUUGUCGUCAGCUCGUGUCGUGAGAUGUUGGGUUAAGUCCCGCAACGAGCGCAACCCUUGUUCUUAGUUGCCAUCAUUUAGUUGGGCACUCUAAGGAGACUGCCGGUGACAAACCGGAGGAAGGUGGGGAUGACGUCAAAUCAUCAUGCCCCUUAUGACCUGGGCUACACACGUGCUACAAUGGACGGUACAAACGGUUGCCAACCCGCGAGGGGGAGCUAAUCCGAUAAAACCGUUCUCAGUUCGGAUUGUAGGCUGCAACUGCCUACAUGAAGCC
rnacentral:rRNA from 1 species